GUCUAAGGUAAAGUGGAUGAUUGGGGUGAAGUCGUAACAAGGUAGCCGUAUCGGAAGGUGCGGCUGGAUCACCUCCUUU
rnacentral:rRNA from 1 species